rnacentral:lncRNA from 1 species
AUGAAUAUAACAAAGCUUCUUGAAGCAGACCCAUCUAAGCUUAUAAUCUGCAGUGGAAAAGAGAAUGAGAAGAAUGCCCAAGCAAGCAUCCAUCCCAGUACUCUUACAUUGAAAAAAAAAUUGCAUGAUCAUAAUUCUGUAACAGAAAUUGACACAUUAAAUCUAACACAAAUAACAUGUUAUCUAAAACUCAAACAAAUUAAUACAACACUUGAAAAGCAAAAAUACCACUCGACAUUCCAAAUGUCAUCUAUAAAUGGCACAUAA